ACACACACACACAAGCCGCACAAUAAUUCUUCUACAUACUCGUAAUGGCUUCUCCUUGCAUUCAGUCAUUCCUUUUCCACUGUUUCCCAUCCCCACCUAUAUAGCCCCACACCCAACUUCCCAUCCUUCUGCCUAGUCAUCCCUUUCUCUCCUCCCCUGCCUUAUUCCCUAUCCAGGUUAUUCUUCACUCUGUCCUAGCCAUCUCACAACCAGCCUGCCCUACACUACCUAUCCACCCAUCGCUCGCCUGACCUUUCUCAACCUCUUGUGACGUCGCAGAUCUCUCGAUGGACGGUACUUGGAACUGAAUCCUGAGACGAAUCAUCUUGGCAGCGCGAGACUCAAGGGACGAGGCUGAUAUGAUUGUGUGUGGCGUAAAUAUUUCACGCCGCUGCCUCUAUGUAUUUACAGAACAAGCCAGCGCCAAGUAAACGAGUUGGGACGAAAAGACCCCGUGACGCAGUGGGCCUCUGGUCUCGUGGAGAGUGAUCUGCCGCAAGAGGUAGGAUGCACGUGAGUUUCGUCCUGGCCACGGAAUUCCGGAUAAGGCAGGGAGAGUGGCUGAUCAGCCAGGACUGAGUAGAAGAUGCUGAGUCUCGAGAGUGAACUGUGUGGUGCAGGACUGUAUCGGUUAUGCAGUCUCUUUUAACGAGAGACACAUCGUGGAGGAGGCUGGCGAGUGCUCUCAACACACGUGACGGAGCGGCGCCAUGGUAACUGACCGUGGCCAGGAAGUCUCUUGUGCUGAACACUGCAAUGUUGUGUUAUCAAGACUGUGUAUUGGUGCAGCGCAUACAGUCGGAUCACUAAGCGUGUUGUAGUGAUGAGACUAUGGCGAAUGAUUAUUGAUCGUUAGAAAAAAAACUAUAGGUUUGAUAAUAAUUCAAUGCUUGAGUUACACUAACACUCCAUCACUACCGCCACCACCACCGCCAUAACCACCAUCACCACCGCCAUCACCACCGCCGCUACUAAGAGUUACUGUUGUGAAAAAGACGCACAAAUGCAAGAAAGAGACGAGACACGGAGAACUACGUGAGGUUGUUUUUUCCCCUUCACAUGGCUGAGACUUGCCACAUUGGAAACCAUCGUGGAAGGACAGAAAAAAAUACAUACGUGCAAGAAAAACAGAAGAUAAAAAUUACGUAAGAUCUU